rnacentral:lncRNA from 1 species
AAAAAAGGCAAGACCCCAUCUCAAAAAAAGAUAAAUAAUACACUUGACCCUAUAAAAUAACCUUAGCAUCAUGUUGUUUUAGGUCACCAUAGAUGUUAACAGUGGCUGUCUUUGGAUUCCAGAAUUAUAGAUCUCUAUGUGAAGACUUCGAAGAAUGUUAAUGAUAUAUUGCUAAUUUAAAGAAAAUGCAAAUUGCAGACCCCAAAAUGCAAUGCAUGAUCCUAUUUGUGUGAAAAAAAGAGUAUGUGUCUAUAAUCACAUCCUUAAACAUAUCUAUUUACACAAAAGCAAAACUUUGGGAAGGAUCAAACUGUUAAUAGUGGUUACUUCUGGGAAUGAAAGCUGCCGGUGAAGGUCUACAGAAUGAUUUUUUUAUUAUUAUUCUCUAUAAAUUUAAAAAGUGAUAGUAAGAAGAGGUUUUAAAAAGUGUUAAAAAUAUUUCUAAAUUAAUAAAGUUACUCUCCCUGUCAUGGGAAAGUGCUGGCUGGCAUCCCC